rnacentral:rRNA from 1 species
UACGUAGGGGGCAAGCGUUGUCCGGAUUUAUUGGGCGUAAAGAGCGUGUAGGCGGCCUUACAGGUCAGCUGUGAAAACUCGAGGCUCAACCUCGAGACGUCGGUUGAAACCGUAAGGCUAGAGUCCGGAAGGGGAGAGUGGAAUUCCCGGUGUAGCGGUGAAAUGCGCAGAUAUCGGGAAGAACACCCGUGGCGAAGGCGGCUCUCUGGGACGGUACUGACGCUGAGACGCGAAAGCGUGGGGAGCGAACAGG